AGAACGAACGCUGGCGGCAUGCCUAAUACAUGCAGGUCGAACGAACACUUCGGUGUUAGUGGCGCACGGGUGCGUAACGCGUGGGAAUCUGCCCUUGGGUUCGGAAUAACAGUUGGAAACGACUGCUAAUACCGGAUGAUAUCGAAAGAUCAAAGAUUUAUCGCCCAGGGAUGAGCCCGCGUAGGAUUAGCUAGUUGGUGAGGUAAAGGCUCACCAAGGCGACGAUCCUUAGCUGGUCUGAGAGGAUGAUCAGCCACACUGGGACUGAGACACGGCCCAGACUCCUACGGGAGGCAGCAGUAGGGAAUAGUUGGACAAGUGGGCGCAAGCCUGAUCCAGCAAUGCCGCGUGAGUGAUGG
rnacentral:rRNA from 1 species